rnacentral:tRNA from 1 species
GGGGUCGUAGGAUAACGGCAUUCUAUCUGGCUCCAGACCAGAGGAUCCGAGUUCGAGUCUCGGCGACCCCA